rnacentral:rRNA from 1 species
UACAGAGGGUGCUAGCGUUGUUCGGAAUCAUUGGGCGUAAAGAGCUCGUAGGCGGUUUGUCGCGUCUGCUGUGAAAACCUAAGGCUCAACCUUGGGCUUGCAGUGGGUACGGGCAGACUAGAGUGCGGUAGGGGUGACUGGAAUUCCCGGUGUAGCGGUGAAAUGCGCAGAUAUCAGGAGGAACACCGAUGGCGAAGGCAGGUCUCUGGGCCAUAACUGACGCUGAGAAGCGAAAGCAUGGGGAGCGAACAGG